CCGUGUCCCGAGCUCUGAUAGAGUUUGAUCCUGGCUCGAUUGAACGCUAGCGGGAUGCUUUACACAUGCAAGUCGAACGGCAGCACGAGAGAGCUUGCUCUCUUGGUGGCGAGUGGCGGACGGGUGAGUAAUAUAUCGGAACGUGCCCAGUAGCGGGGGAUAACUGGCCGAAAGGUCAGCUAAUACCGCAUACGCCCUACGGGGGAAAGGGGGGGAUUCUUCGGAACCUCUCACUAUUGGAGCGGCCGAUAUCGGAUUAGCUAGUUGGUGGGGUAAUGGCCUACCAAGGCGACGAUCCGUAGCUGGUUUGAGAGGACGACCAGCCACACUGGGACUGAGACACGGCCCAGACUCCUACGGGAGGCAGCAGUGGGGAAUUUUGGACAAUGGGGGAAACCCUGAUCCAGCCAUCCCGCGUGUGCGAUGAAGGCCUUCGGGUUGUAAAGCACUUUUGUCAGGGAAGAAAAGGUUCUGGCUAAUACCCGGAACUGAUGACGGUACCUGAAGAAUAAGCACCGGCUAACUACGUGCCAGCAGCCGCGGUAAUACGUAGGGUGCAAGCGUUAAUCGGAAUUACUGGGCGUAAAGCGUGCGCAGGCGGUUCGGAAAGAAGGAUGUGAAAUCCCAGGGCUCAACCUUGGAACUGCAUUCUUAACUACCGAACUAGAGUAUGUCAGAGGGGGGUAGAAUUCCGCGUGUAGCAGUGAAAUGCGUAGAUAUGCGGAGGAAUACCGAUGGCGAAGCAGCCCCCUGGGAUAAUACUGACGCUCAUGCACGAAAGCGUGGGUAGCAAACAGGAUUAGAUACCCUGGUAGUCCACGCCCUAAACGAUGUCAACUAGCUGUUGGGUACUGACGCUCAUGCACGAAAGCGUGGGUAGCAAACAGGAUUAGAUACCCUGGUAGUCCACGCCCUAAACGAUGUCAACUAGCUGUUGGGCCCUUCGGGGCUUAGUAGCGUAGCUAACGCGUGAAGUUGACCGCCUGGGGAGUACGGUCGCAAGAUUAAAACUCAAAGGAAUUGACGGGGACCCGCACAAGCGGUGGAUGAUGUGGAUUAAUUCGAUGCAACGCGAAAAACCUUACCUACCCUUGACAUGUCUGGAAUCCUUUAGAGAUAGAGGAGUGCUCGCAAGAGAACCGGAACACAGGUGCUGCAUGGCUGUCGUCAGCUCGUGUCGUGAGAUGUUGGGUUAAGUCCCGCAACGAGCGCAACCCUUGUCAUUAGUUGCCAGCAUUCAGUUGGGCACUCUAAUGAGACUGCCGGUGACAAACCGGAGGAAGGUGGGGAUGACGUCAAGUCCUCAUGGCCCUUAUGGGUAGGGCUUCACACGUCAUACAAUGGUCGGGACAGAGGGUUGCCAAACCGCGAGGUGGAGCCAAUCUCAGAAACCCGAUUGUAGUCCGGAUUGCAGGCUGCAACUCGCCUGCAUGAAGUCGGAAUCGCUAGUAAUCGCGGAUCAGCAUGUCGCGGUGAAUACGUUCCCGGGUCUUGUACACACCGCCCGUCACACCAUGGGAGUGGGUUUUACCAGAAGUAGUUAGCCUAACCGCAAGGGGGGCGAUUACCACGGUAGGAUUCAUGACUGGGGUGAAGUCGUAACAAGGUAGCCGUAA
rnacentral:rRNA from 1 species